AUACGGAGGUUGCAAGCGUUGUUCGGAAUUACUGGGCGUAAAGGGAGUGCAGGCGGCUUGGUUAGUCUGAUAGUGAAAGUCCGGGGCUCAACCUGGGAAUGGCAUUGGAUACUGUUUAACUAGAGUGCAGGAGAGGAGAGUGGAAUUCUCGGUGUAGCGGUGAAAUGCGUAGAUAUCGGGAGGAACACCAGUGGCGAAGGCGGCUCUCUGGACUGACACUGACGCUGAGGUGCGAAAGCGCGGGUAGCAAACAGGAUUAGAAACCCUGGUAGUCC
rnacentral:rRNA from 1 species